GGACGAUUAGCUCAGUUGGUAGAGCGUCUCGUUUACAUCGAGAAGGCCGCAGGUUCGAGUCCUGCAUCGUCCA
rnacentral:tRNA from 1 species